UAGAAUGUAAAUUAAUAAACUAAGUGAUUAAUAGUUAAGUUCUUUAAAGCUAAAUGAUUUGGCGGUAUUUUAAACUUUUCAGAGGAACCUGUUCUGUAAUCGAUAAUCCACGAUUUAAUUAACUUUAUUUAGAAAUUUUUAUAUCGUUGUUUUUAAAUAUUUUAAAAGAAUUAAAUAUUUAAAAUUUUUUAUUAGAAAUUAAAUCAAAUCAAGGUGAAGUUUAUAUUAAAGAAGAAAUGGGUUACAAUAAAAUUUACUUAUGGAUUUAAAAUUGAAAAUUUUUUAUAAAAUUGGAUUUGAAAGUAAUUAGAUUUAUUUUUUUUUAAUGAGUUAGCACUAAAAUAUGU
rnacentral:rRNA from 1 species